rnacentral:rRNA from 1 species
UACGAAGGGGGCUAGCGUUGUUCGGAAUUACUGGGCGUAAAGCGCGCGCAGGCGGUUCUUCAAGUCAGGGGUGAAAGCCCAGAGCUCAACUCUGGAAUGGCCUUUGAGACUAGAGAACUAGGGUACGGGAGAGGUGAGUGGAAUUCCGAGUGUAGAGGUGAAAUUCGUAGAUAUGGGGAGGAACACCGGUGGCGAAGGCGGCCACCGGGACGGUAACUGACGCUGAGACGCGAAAGCGUGGGGAGCAAACAGG